AGAGUUUGAUCAUGGCUCAGAUUGAACGCUGGCGGCAGGCUUAACACAUGCAAGUCGUGCGAGAAAGUAUCUUCGGAUAUGAGUAGAGCGGCGGACGGGUGAGUAACGCGUAGGAAUCUACCUAGUAGAAGGGGAUAGCCCGGGGAAACCCGGAUUAAUACCGUAUACCUCCUUCGGGAGAAAGAAGGCCUCUCUUUGAAGCUUUCGCUAUUAGAUGAGCCUGCGUAAGAUUAGCUUGUUGGUGAGGUAAAGGCUCACCAAGGCGACGAUCUUUAGCUGGUCUGAGAGGACGAUCAGCCACAUUGGGACUGAGACACGGCCCAGACUCCUACGGGAGGCAGCAGUGGGGAAUAUUGGACAAUGGGCGCAAGCCUGAUCCAGCCAUACCGCGUGUGUGAAGAAGGCCUUCGGGUUGUAAAGCACUUUAAGCAGGGAGAAAAAGUUAUAAGCUAAUAUCUUAUAACCUUGAUGUUACCUGCAGAAUAAGCACCGGCUAAUUCCGUGCCAGCAGCCGCGGUAAUACGGAAGGUGCAAGCGUUAAUCGGAAUUACUGGGCGUAAAGCGCGCGUAGGUGGUUUGUUAAGUUGGAUGUGAAAGCCCUGGGCUCAACCUAGGAACUGCAUCCAAAACUAACUCACUAGAGUACGAUAGAGGGAGGUAGAAUUCAUAGUGUAGCGGUGGAAUGCGUAGAUAUUAUGAAGAAUACCAGUGGCGAAGGCGGCCUCCUGGAUCUGUACUGACACUGAGGUGCGAAAGCGUGGGUAGCGAACAGGAUUAGAUACCCUGGUAGUCCACGCCGUAAACGAUGACAACUAGCUGUUGGGAGACAAUGUCUUUCAGUGGCGCAGCUAACGCUUUAAGUUGUCCGCCUGGGGAGUACGGCCGCAAGGCUAAAACUCAAAUGAAUUGACGGGGACCC
rnacentral:rRNA from 1 species